UUAACACCGAGUGCAGACUGGCCGAGUGCAAAAAGCGGUGUGCCGCGCCGUCUAGUGCAAAGUGGCUCUGCACAUGGUGAAGCACACGGCUUUUGCACACGUUCCUCUUUCAGUAUAAAUGAGCGCUCGUCGCCUCAGACUAACAUAACGACAACAAGCCCCUUCUCCACAACCAAGAAACCGAAGAACCAAAACAAACCUCAAGAUGCCCAAGCCUUGCUGCGACAAUUGCGCCCAGACCUGCCAAGGUGGAGCCGACGGCUGCAAAUGCAGUGGCACCUGCGGAUGCAAAGGAGGCUGCAAAUGCUGUGCUGAGAAGAAAUGAAGAAUUUACUUCAGAAUGAUGGCGAUUUCAACUUGACUGAAUUUUUCUAUUGAUUUGUAUUGAUAAUGUGUUGAAUAAAUAAUUUCAAUAUUUAAAUAA